rnacentral:rRNA from 1 species
AGAGUUUGAUCCUGGCUCAGGACGAACGCUGGCGGCGUGCCUAAUACAUGCAAGUUGAGCGAUGAAGAUUGGUGCUUGCACCAAUUUGAAGAGCAGCGAACGGGUGAGUAACGCGUGGGGAAUCUGCCUUUGAGCGGGGGACAACAUUUGGAAACGAAUGCUAAUACCGCAUAACAACUUUAAACAUAAGUUUUAAGUUUGAAAGAUGCAAUUGCAUCACUCAAAGAUGAUCCCGCGUUGUAUUAGCUAGUUGGUGAGGUAAAGGCUCACCAAGGCGAUGAUACAUAGCCGACCUGAGAGGGUGAUCGGCCACAUUGGGACUGAGACACGGCCCAAACUCCUACGGGAGGCAGCAGUAGGGAAUCUUCGGCAAUGGACGAAAGUCUGACCGAGCAACGCCGCGUGAGUGAAGAAGGUUUUCGGAUCGUAAAACUCUGUUGGUAGAGAAGAACGUUGGUGAGAGUGGAAAGCUCAUCAAGUGACGGUAACUACCCAGAAAGGGACGGCUAACUACGUGCCAGCAGCCGCGGUAAUACGUAGGUCCCGAGCGUUGUCCGGAUUUAUUGGGCGUAAAGCGAGCGCAGGUGGUUUAUUAAGUCUGGUGUAAAAGGCAGUGGCUCAACCAUUGUAUGCAUUGGAAACUGGUAGACUUGAGUGCAGGAGAGGAGAGUGGAAUUCCAUGUGUAGCGGUGAAAUGCGUAGAUAUAUGGAGGAACACCGGUGGCGAAAGCGGCUCUCUGGCCUGUAACUGACACUGAGGCUCGAAAGCGUGGGGAGCAAACAGGAUUAGAUACCCUGGUAGUCCACGCCGUAAACGAUGAGUGCUAGAUGUAGGGAGCUAUAAGUUCUCUGUAUCGCAGCUAACGCAAUAAGCACUCCGCCUGGGGAGUACGACCGCAAGGUUGAAACUCAAAGGAAUUGACGGGGGCCCGCACAAGCGGUGGAGCAUGUGGUUUAA